rnacentral:rRNA from 1 species
GAGGCCCCUACGGGGGUACAUCAGUGGCAGACGGGUGAGUAACACGUAGGUAACCUGCCCUCGAGACGGGGAUAACGGGUGGAAACGGUCGCUAAGACCCGAUAUAGUCUGACCUUCGGGAGAACGUGAGAGGAAAGGCUUCGGUGCUCGGGGAGGGGCCUGCGGCCCAUCAGCUAGUUGGAGAGGUAACGGCUCCCCAAUGCAAUGACGGGUAGGGGGUGUGAGAGCAUGGGCCCCCAAACUGUGACUGAGACACGGCCCAGACUCCUACGGGAGGCAGCAGCAGGGAAUAUUGCGCAAUGGACGGAAGUCUGACGCAGCGACGCCGCGUGGAUGACGAAGGCCUUCGGGUUGUAAAAUCCUUUUCCGGGCGAUGAGGAAGGACACUAGCCUGGGAAUAAGCGUCUGCUAACUACGUGCCAGCAGCCGGGGUAAGACGUUAGGACGCGAGCGUUAUCCGGAUUUACUGGGCGUAAAGCGCCUGCAGGCGGUCAGGUAAGUCGGUUGUGAAAGCCCCGUGCUCAAGGCGGGGAGGCCAAGCGAUACUGCGUGACUUGAGGGCGGAAGAGGGGAGUGGAAUUCCCGGUGUAGCGGUAAAAUGCGCAGAUAUCGGGAGGAACACCAGUGGCGAAGGCGGCUCCCUGGACCGCACCUGACGCUCAGAGGCGAAAGCUAGGGGAGCGAACAGGAUUAGAGACCCUGGUAGUCCUAGCCCUAAACGCUGGAUGCUAGGUGUAGGGCUGAUGAGGCUCUGUGCCGGAGCGAACGCGAUAAGCAUCCCGCCUGGGAACUACGGCCGCAAGGCUAAAACUCAAACGAAUUGACGGGGACCCGCACAAGCAGCGGAGCGUGUGGUUUAAUUCGAUGCUACACGAAGAACCUUACCUGGGUUUGACAUGCUGGUGGUACCGAACCGAAAGGGGAGGGAUCCUUCGGGGAGCCAACACAGGUGCUGCAUGGCUGUCGUCAGCUCGUGCCGUGAGGUGUCGGGUUAAGUCCCGUAACGAGCGCAACCCUUGCUCUUAGUUAUACGUGUCUAAGGGGACUGCCGGCGACAAGCCGGAGGAAGGUGGGGAUGACGUCAAGUCAGCAUGGCCUUGAUAUCCAGGGCUACACACACGCUACAAUGGCCGGUACAAAGGGCAGCCAAGCCGCGAGGUGGAGCGAAUCCCAGCAAAGCCGGUCCCAGUUCGGAUUGCAGGCUGCAACCCGCAUGCAUGAAGUUGGAGUUGCUAGUAACCGCGCGUCAGCCAUAGUGCGGUGAAUACGUACCCGGGUCUUGUACACACCGCCCGUCACGUCAUGGGAGUUGGCAACGCCUGACAGCGGUA